rnacentral:rRNA from 1 species
UACGUAGGGUGCAAGCGUUAUCCGGAAUUAUUGGGCGUAAAGAGCUCGUAGGCGGUUUGUCGCGUCUGCUGUGAAAACCCGAGGCUCAACCUCGGGCCUGCAGUGGGUACGGGCAGACUGGAGUGCGGUAGGGGAGAUUGGAAUUCCUGGUGUAGCGGUGGAAUGCGCAGAUAUCAGGAGGAACACCGAUGGCGAAGGCAGAUCUCUGGGCCGUAACUGACGCUGAGGAGCGAAAGCGUGGGGAGCGAACAGG